ACCGGAUGGUUGUCUGAACCGCAUGGUUCAGACAUAAAAGGUGGCUUCGGCUACCACUUACAGAUGGACCCGCGGCGCAUUAGCUAGUUGGUGAGGUAACGGCUCACCAAGGCGACGAUGCGUAGCCGACCUGAGAGGGUGAUCGGCCACACUGGGACUGAGACACGGCCCAGACUCCUACGGGAGGCAGCAGUAGGGAAUCUUCCGCAAUGGACGAAAGUCUGACGGAGCAACGCCGCGUGAGUGAUGAAGGUUUUCGGAUCGUAAAGCUCUGUUGUUAGGGAAGAACAAGUGCCGUUCAAAUAGGGCGGCACCUUGACGGUACCUAACCAGAAAGCCACGGCUAACUACGUGCCAGCAGCCGCGGUAAUACGUAGGUGGCAAGCGUUGUCCGGAAUUAUUGGGCGUAAAGGGCUCGCAGGCGGUUUCUUAAGUCUGAUGUGAAAGCCCCCGGCUCAACCGGGGAGGGUCAUUGGAAACUGGGGAACUUGAGUGCAGAAGAGGAGAGUGGAAUUCCACGUGUAGCGGUGAAAUGCGUAGAGAUGUGGAGGAACACCAGUGGCGAAGGCGACUCUCUGGUCUGUAACUGACGCUGAGGAGCGAAAGCGUGGGGAGCGAACAGGAUUAGAUACCCUGGUAGUCCACGCCGUAAACGAUGAGUGCUAAGUGUUAGGGGGUUUCCGCCCCUUAGUGCUGCAGCUAACGCAUUAAGCACUCCGCCUGGGGGAGUACGGUCGCAAGACUGAAACUCAAGGGAAUUGACGGGGGCCCGCACAAGCGGUGGGAGCAUGUGGUUUAAU
rnacentral:rRNA from 1 species